rfam:Aedes aegypti strain Liverpool supercont1.75 genomic scaffold, whole genome shotgun sequence.
UAGCUUAGUUGGUAAAGCGCUCGUCUAGCAUACUAGAGUCCUGGGUUCAAAUCCCAG